CAAUAACAGAAAGAAGAGUAAUUUUUUUCCAUGGGGUCAAAAGGUACCUAAGUAUAUGAUUGUGAGUGGAAAAAUAGGGGACAGAAAUCAGGUAUUGACAAUUUUUCCAUUUUCAUUUGUGUGUGAAUUUUUAAUAUAAAUGGAGAGGUAAAGCAUUAAUGCAAGUUAAAAUGUUUCAGUGAACAAGUUUCACCAGUUCAACUUUAUAAUUAUAAAUAAACCUGUUAAAUUUUUUUCUGAGCAAUGCCAGCAUUUGGAUUUCUUUUUCUAAAAAGUACAUGUCUUAUUGACAGCAACUAAAUGGUGUUCGUAGCAUUUUUAUCAUACAGUAGAUUCCAUCCAUUCACUAUGCUUUUCUAACUGAGUUGUCCUACAGGCAAGUACAUAUUUUUAACGUUGUCUGU